GGAAAAAUAAGAUCUUGGAAGUCUGUUGCGAUUCUCCAAAUGUUAGAAAAACAGAUGGGACCUGAGUCAUUUCGCAAGAUUCUUCAGCAAAUUGUUGCCCGGGCUCAAGAUGUAAAUCGGUUGUUGAGAACCCUUAGCACAAAAGAGUUCCGGCACCUUGCCAACAAGGUUGGUAAUCUCGAACGCCCAUUUCUUAAAGAAUUCUUUCCGCGUUGGGUCGGAUCGUGUGGCUGUCCGGUGCUGAAGAUGGGAUUCUCAUAUAACAAAAGAAAGAAUAUGGUCGAAUUAGCAAUAUUGAGGGAAUGCACCGCUAGAUUCGACUUAGGUGAUACUAUGAGUAAUGGUAAGCCUGAUUCAGAAAAACAAGAAGGCGAUGGGUGGCCUGGCAUGAUGAGCAUACGGGUGCAUGAGCUUGAUGGCAUGUAUGACCAUCCAAUUCUGCCUAUGACUGGUGAACCCUGGCAGCUGCUUGAAUUUCAGUGUCAUUCUAGACUUGCAGCAAAACGGUUUCAAAAAACCAAAAAGAGUUCUAAACCUGAUGGUUCAGAUGAUAAUGGUGACACUGUGGCUAAUGUAGAUAUGCGUGCAACCUCUGAUUCACCAUUGUUGUGGCUCCGGGCAGAUCCUGAAUUGGAGUAUCUUGCUGAAAUUCAUUUAAAUCAACCGGUCCAGAUGUGGAUAAAUCAAUUGGAGAAGGACAGAGAUGUGGUCGCUCAGGC
rnacentral:misc_RNA from 1 species